GAACUGCGAAACGUCAUGUGACCUGCACUCUUCGUGAAUCAUCCAAUCUUUGAACGCACUUUGCACCUCGUGGCUUUUGUCACAAGGUAUACUUGUUUGAGUAUCUGAUACCAACUCUCCUCCCCUUUGGGGCGAGUGAGGACGUGAGAUUCGUUUGCUUUUCGUGAACGUCUCUUUAAAUGGGAAGGGUCUCUUCAAAUGGGGUCUCCGUCUGGUCUAGACAGGACUAUUGGGAUAACAUCCUGACAAUCGCUUGUCUAGACACUUUUGGACGUUGACCUUUCAUUGGAUCCAUCGAUCGGUAGACGAAGACUUUUUCUUUUCACAAAGGGGGAAGAAGGAGUGUUUGCUCGACCAUGUGAAACCUUUCGGGGGGACACCGUAUGAUAGAUCUCAAAUC
rnacentral:misc_RNA from 1 species